rnacentral:rRNA from 1 species
UGCGAAGGGGGCUAGCGUUGCUCGGAAUCACUGGGCGUAAAGCGCACGUAGGCGGCUUGUUAAGUCAGGGGUGAAAUCCUGGAGCUCAACUCCAGAACUGCCUUUGAUACUGGCAAGCUUCGAGUUCGGGAGAGGUGAGUGGAACUGCGAGUGUAGAGGUGAAAUUCGUAGAUAUUCGCAAGAACACCAGUGGCGAAGGCGGCUCACUGGCCCGAUACUGACGCUGAGGUGCGAAAGCGUGGGGAGCAAACAGG